rnacentral:rRNA from 1 species
CCUACGGGGUGCAGCAGUGAGGAAUAUUGGUCAAUGGGCGCAAGCCUGAACCAGCCAAGUCGCGUGAAGGAUGACUGCUCUAUGGGUUGUAAACUUCUUUUAUAAAGGAAUAAAGUGCGGUACGUGUCCCUUUUUGUAUGUACCUUAUGAAUAAGGAUCGGCUAACUCCGUGCCAGCAGCCGCGGUAAUACGGAGGAUCCGAGCGUUAUCCGGAUUUAUUGGGUUUAAAGGGUGCGUAGACGGUUUGUUAAGUCAGUGGUGAAAGUUUGCGGCUCAACCGUAAAAUUGCAAUUGAUACUGGCAGUCUUGAGUAUAGUUGAGGUAGGCGGAAUUCGUGGUGUAGCGGUGAAAUGCUUAGAGAUCACGAAGAACUCCGAUUGCGAAGGCAGCUUACUAAACUAUCACUGACAUUGAUGCACGAAAGUGUGGGUAUCAAACAGGAUUAGAUACCCUUGUAGUC